rnacentral:lncRNA from 1 species
GCUGGGCGUAUGUGCGGCUACGAUCAGAACUUGGGACAUUCGCAGGAUCCGAGGUAUGGAGAUCCGAUCUUUGUUUAAUUUUUCUAACAAUUUUUUUUUUUUUUAGAUUUUAGAUCAUGGUUGAAUAUUCGUAUCAAGAUUCAUGCUAUAAUUUUCAGAUCUAAUCUAAUACAUAAAUAAACUAAAAAUAUUUUAAUUUAUUUAUUUCUACUGCAUCAUGUCUAGAAAA